GACGAACGCUGGCGGCGUGCUUAACACAUGCAAGUCGAACGGUAAGGCCCUUCGGGGUACACGAGUGGCGAACGAGUGAGUAACACGUGGGUGAUCUGCCCUGCACUUCGGGAUAAGCCUGGGAAACUGGGUCUAAUACCGGAUAGGACUCCGGACUGCAUGGUCUGGGGUGGAAAGCUUUUGCGGUGUGGGAUGGGCCCGCGGCCUAUCAGCUUGUUGGUGGGGUAAUGGCCUACCAAGGCGACGACGGGUAGCCGGCCUGAGAGGGUGACCGGUCACACUGGGACUGAGAUACGGCCCAGACUCCGACGGGAGGCAGCAGUGGGGAAUAUUGCACAAUGGGCGCAAGCCUGAUGCAGCGACGCCGCGUGAGGGAUGACGGCCUUCGGGUUGUAAACCUCUUUCAGCAAUGACGAAGCGCAAGUGACGGUAGUAGCAGAAGAAGGAUCGGCCAACUACGUGCCAGCAGCCGCCGUAA
rnacentral:rRNA from 1 species